rnacentral:rRNA from 1 species
ACUAGCAGUAAGAGUUUGAUCCUGGCUCAGGACGAACGCUGGCGGCACGCCUAACACAUGCAAGUCGAACGGCCCCUUCGGGGGCAGUGGCGGACGGGUGAGUAACGCGUGGGAACCUGCCCCUUGGUUCGGGACAACCCGGGGAAACCCGGGCUAAUACCGGAUGCGCUCCUGGCUUUGGCUGGGAGGAAAGAUUGAUCGCCGAGGGAUGGGCCCGCGUCGGAUUAGGUUGUUGGUGGGGUAACGGCUCACCAAGGCGACGACGGGUAGCUGGUCUGAGAGGACGAUCAGCCACACUGGGACUGAGACACGGCCCAGACUCCUACGGGAGGCAGCAGUUAGGAAUCUUGCGCAAUGGGCGAAAGCCUGACGCAGCAACGCCGCGUGGGGGAUGAAGGCUCUCGGGUCGUAAACCCCUUUCAGCGGGGACGAUUGUGACGGUACCCGCAGAAGAAGGACCGGCCAACUACGUGCCAGCAGCCGCGGUAAUUC